rnacentral:rRNA from 1 species
GACGAACGCUGGCGGCGUGCUUAACACAUGCAAGUCGAACGGAAAGGCCCUGCUUUUGUGCGGUGCUCGAGUGGCGAACGGGUGAGUAACACGUGAGUAACCUGCCCUUGACUUUGGGAUAACUUCAGGAAACUGGGGCUAAUACCGGAUAGGAGCUCCUGCUGCAUGGUGGGGGUUGGAAAGUUUCGGCGGUUGGGGCUGGACUCGCGGCUUAUCAGCUUGUUGGUGGGGUAGUGGCAUACCAAGGCUUUGACGGGUAGCCGGCCUGAGAGGGUGACCGGCCACAUUGGGACUGAGGGACGGCCCAGACUCCUACGGGAGGCAGUGGUGGGGAGUAUUGCACAGUGGGCGGAAGCCUGAUGCAGCAACGCCGCGUGCGGGAUGACGGCCUUCGGGUUGUAAACCGCUUUCGCCUGUGACGAAGCGUGAGUGACGGUAAUGGGUAAAGAAGCACCGGCUAACUACGUG